rfam:Pantoea sp. PSNIH1, complete genome.
CAUGAAACCUCAGCCAUUUUUCUUCGCAUUCUUUUUUACCUUCCCCUGAACGGGAGGCGCGUCGUCAUGCGAAAAUGAAUGCGAAGACGAAUGACAAAGCCUCCCCCACCGGGAGGCUUUUUUUUU